UACGUAGGGGGCAAGCGUUGCUCGGAAUCACUGGGCGUAAAGCGCACGUAGGCGGAUUGCUAAGUCAGGGGUGAAAUCCUGGAGCUCAACUCCAGAACUGCCUUUGAUACUGGCGACCUUGAGUCCGGGAGAGGUGAGUGGAACUGCGAGUGUAGAGGUGAAAUUCGUAGAUAUUCGCAAGAACACCAGUGGCGAAGGCGGCUCACUGGCCCGGUACUGACGCUGAGGUGCGAAAGCGUGGGGAGCAAACAGG
rnacentral:rRNA from 1 species